UACAGAGGGCUCAAGCGUUGUUCGGAAUCAUUGGGCGUAAAGGGCGCGUAGGUGGUUCUGUAUGUCUAUCGUGAAAGCAUACAGCUCAACUGUAUUUUGUCGGUAGAAACUGCAGGACUUGAGGCUGGGAGGGGCUGGUGGAAUUCCCUGUGUAGCGGUGAAAUGCGUAGAGAUGGGGGAGAACACUCGUGGCGAAGGCGGCCAGCUAGACCAGUUCUGACACUGAGGCGCGAAAGCGUGGGGAGCAAACAGG
rnacentral:rRNA from 1 species